rnacentral:lncRNA from 1 species
GUGAGCUGCCCUUCAUACCUCAUGCCCUUGAAUAAUGCAGCGUAAGUGUGUUUAUUGUGCCAGCUCUUCUUGUAGUUUUAUUCUAAUCCCUCGUCUCAGGCAACAUUUGUUUUGGCUGCAGUUCGAUACUUCCUCCUUCAGAGCUAUGCUUGGUUUUACCUCUAAUUCUGUGGCCCUCAGGGGCUGGUUGUACUGAUAAACUUUUACAAGUAAAAGGAGCUGUGGAGAUGACCUCCAGCUGGGGCUGAAGGCCUAUACAGCAGCACCUUCUUGCUGAAGCUAAGUGAUCCUCUUGGGGAGGAGGGUUGGGGGUCCAGGGCCCCUGAAGUCAGGAUUCCCCAGUGAGUUGGUCAAUGUGGACUUAGAUCUUGUUGAAAUAUCCAGAAGUAUUUCUAAGUAGAAUAUUUUUGAUCACAGAAACAAGGUAAAUAUUUUUGUCUUCCUUCAGUGGAGGACUUUGGAGCUCUCAGGUGGCUGCUCUCCAUCCCAGGCCUGGCUGUAGGAGGCUACCUGGGUGGGGUGCAGGCCCAUGCCUGGGGUCCUGGCUCCAGAGGCACCACAUGCCACUCAGUGAGGAUAAGAAUCCAUUCUGCAGCUUCUUUCAGCCCCACAUCAAUAAAUGGAGACAGUGGGAAGGGAGCUGUGCUACUUUGAAGGAUUUGGGGGCAGACUAAGAAGAAAACACAUGUGAAAGUGCUUUGUAAGGAUGAGUGCAUGGCGGGGCGACGAGGGGCGUUGGAGGCACAUGCAGCUGGGUAGGAGUUGCACUUUGGUCAUUGGCCAGUUAUGUGGCUUUGGGAACUGUUCAGACUUCUGGAUCUUGGCUUCCUUUUUUGUUAAGUAGGUGAUGAUAGGGAUCUCAUUGGGCUGCUGUGAGGAUGAGGUGUGUUUACAGUGCUUGGCAAAGAGUGGGGCUCCAUGCACAUAACUCCAUUUCCUCUACAUCUACAUUGCUCUGCAAACGAAGGGUGCUAUGACAAUAAACCCACCCCAAGGCCAAAGGAGGGGCGUGCUGGGGGUGGAGAGGGAUGGCUGGGAACUAACUAGCCGGCAUCAGCAAAGGAGGGAUUGUUUUGGUCUUUGUAGGAAAUUAGGAGGAUUGCCUUUCUCAUCUAUUACUUCCAAUGAGUUCUGAUGUUCUGGGGAAUCUUCUCUGAAUGAAUCCUGGUAUUGCUUCAUUUAUACUAUAACUCUGUAGUAUAACUAUAUCCUGUGUAAUCCAAGCCAAAGAUAGAGGGUUUGGGGACGACAGAUAUUUCAACAAUAGUCACUGAGGCAAGGAAUUGUGGAUUCUAGGAUGAGGCAGCAGGUGAAGGGCUUUGGUGCCCACACAGAGGAGAAGAGGGCAACUGGAGCGAGGAAAUGUCUUGCUGUCCUGCCGUUUAGCUCUGGAAGUGUCUCUUGGGACAAUCUUGGAGAAACGUCAACUGAAGUGCUAGUUUAGUAGCAGGGUAGCUGAGUCCUAGCAGUGUUUCGCAUUUCUCCAGUGAAAGCCCUAGAGGACUUGGAUGUCCCCAUCUCUAAAGACACCGGUGGCGGCAGAGGCCCAGCUUCUAAACACUCAGGGUCACACAGGCAUUGGUGCUUGGUAAACGUUUUCUUAUAUAAUUUCAAAGCCAUCUGUGACAUGGCUGUAUCAUCCCCAUUCUACUAGUGAGAAAACCAAUGCCAGGGGAUGGAAAAACAACUUCCUUAUGGUCACACUGCCAGUCAGUGCCUGGUGGGACCCAAGCUGGGCCCCAAUCCCCCAUGUCCCCCUUGGCACCUGUCCUGCUUUAGGGAAGAUGGUCUGUGGUCAAAGCUUAAUCUUUGCUUUGAUAAAGGAUUAAUUCAAAUUUUGGAAUGAAAAGAAGAGAUUUUGAAGCCCUAAAACUGUACUGUGUGACAAAACUCCUGUUCUUGGGAUAUGGUGGCAGAAGUAAGGGAAAGUGUCAGAAAAAGUCCCGCAAGGUGAGAAAAACUGAAAAAGAGACCCCUUUCCUAUAGAGGCUCACGAAGGGGAAAUUGCAACUGUGCGACCCUGUCUGCUAGCUUUCUCUGUCACUUCAUCCCCCAUUCCUGUUGCUGUGUGCACUUUUAUCCAACCCUCUUAAUGUCCAUGGCUGCGCUACCAGCAAAAUCUAACCCCAUCUGCUUGGCUAAGCUUCUUGCGCUCACCUAUACCUGAGGAGUACGACAUCAGGCUUCAGGGCUUAUUGAAGUCAUUACUCACAUCAUUGCACUAAUCACAAACAGAAGUGAAAGUUGUAAAUUGUAUAUAAUUACAUUUCAUAGAGAAAAAAGUAGAUUUAAAAAUGGCAAUUAAUAUUCUUAAUAGCCAAAAGUUAUUGCUAAUUAAUAAGAAAAACAUAAGCACUCCAAUUGAAAAAAAAUGAGCAAAGGUCAUAAAGACAUAAAACUCGCCUGUGGAAACAUACGUAGAGGAAACACAGAAUUAGUGAGUGUGUGUAUGGAAAUAAAUGGAAGGAUAAUGCUUGCUACCCAGUGUGGGCUUUGGGGGUAGAUCUACCUGGACUGAGUUCUGGAUUCACUAUUUACUAGCUCCAUGACCUUCAGCAAAGUAACCUCUCUAAGCCUUUGUUUUUAUCUGUAAAAUAGGGAUACUUAUUUUCCCUGCCUUGAGGGGUUAUUGUGAGGAUAAAAGAAAAUAAUUCUGUAAAGGGCUUAGUAAAGUGCCUGGUGCAGAGAAAUUUUUCAGUGCAGAUUAGCAAUUGUCACUGCUAGUAGUAUAUUUGCAUUGAUAACAAUUAGUAAUUUAACAUCUCACUGAAAUCAAAGAAAUGCAAUUAAAACAACAAAUACAUAUUAUUUGUUACUUAUCAGAUUGGAAAACAGGUGAAAAGAUUGACAGUAACCACUGUUGGUUAGAUGUGGAGAGAUGGGUUCUCUUGUGCAAUUCUGGGAUGGUAGGACCUGAUGCCCCAUUUCUGCAGGGCAAUUUGGCAAUAUACAUUAACGUUGAACAUUCUGAUAGUUUUUGACCCAGUCAUUCUUCUCUCAGAAACUUAUUCCUGGGAGAUAACUGAACAAAUGCACAAUAAUGAAUAUAUAAGAAUGUUUAUCCUGGCAUUUUUUUUUAUAGAAACAAAAAUUCAGAAGCAACUUAAACAUCCUUCAGUGAGAUUGACUAAUAAGUCCUGCUUCAUUUUUAUGACAGAAUGCUACUACUAAUAGCAGUGUUCUAGAUUUUCAUCCACCAUCAUGGAUAAAGCUCUCCGUCAUGUGGAUGGAAUCACUGCGGUAGGAGGAUUCCUGAGGCAUUACCUGGAUAGUCUCAUCUGGCUGGACAUGCAGGAGAACUGGGAGACUGCCGAGACUGCCACGUGGGGUGACUUGAGGGAUCUUUGACACUCUCUGUCUUAAUCUGUUUUGUGUUGCUAUAACAGAAUACACAGACUAAGUAAUUUAUAAAGAAAGGAAAUUUACUUCUCACAGUUUUGGAGGCUGAGAAGUCCAAGACUGAGGGGCUGGCAUCUGACGAGGGCCUUCUUGCUGCUUCAUUCCACGGCAAAAUGGCAAAGAGAAGUAUAAAUAAAAAUUCCAAAAUGCCUUACAUAAGCCUUGUCCUAUGAUGUGCACCACAUUUAGCAAACACUGUUCCGUUUGAGCCGCACAACAACCCUUCAAGGCAGGCGAAGUGAGACUGAUUAUCCUCAUUUUACAGAUGAGAAGAAAGGCUCAAAGGGACGGUGGGACUUGACUGAGGACCCAGCACCUCCUGGACCUGAAUCAAGGCCCUCUGUCCCGCUGCUUUUGUUGUUGUUUACCCUGCAACUUCACAGCCCUUCAGAAGGCCCUGGACAUCAUGUGCAAGCUCCGUGGAUGGCCUGAGAUUCAUCCUUCCAAGUUGUUUUCUGACUGAGAGGCAACAUUUUAAAUUGUGAUCCCCCCUUACCCCACCACACACACUGAAACAAAAGUUUCAAGAAGUCAUUACCACACAAUGACUCAGAUAUGUUCUAGUCUAGUCUGUCUAUUCCAUUCCAUUCCAGUCUCUUUCCAAACGAAAAUAAAAGGAAGGAAAUGCUGCAUGCGACUUGGUAAGUUAAUUUCAGGACACCUUGGGACUGCUUCCUGCUGCAUGAGGCAUCAGCACACAGCAGGGGAUAUUUUGCAUUCCUGUGUGCACCGUGGGUUAGACAGGCUGCUUGGCCCUAAGUGGAGAAUGGAACUCCAGUAGAAAGGCUGAGAUGCACUGCAAGUAACCACUGCAGAAAGGAGAGGAUGCCCACAGGCAGGCUGAAGUGGACCCGUGUGGAAGGAACACUUCAAGACCACUGGCCAAGAGACUUCCUUCAUUUUUAUCCCUUCCUGUUUUUCGCCUGUGCUGAGGAUUCACCACCAGUGUGGGGAGCCUCUGACUGUAAAAGGAAAGCUGACUCUGGCUCCUUCGUGUUUUCUGUUAAGUUGGGGCCUAAGUUUUUCUGCCAGCCUUUGCGGAGGAAAUGCAGCUUCCCUGGCACACUGCCCGGUCAAGGGACGUUGAAUCCAUUGCAAUCAGCAGUUGAAGAUCCACACUACAGGCCAUGUUCUUAAAAUAAGUGGCUCCAGGACUUCCAAGAGGCAGAAGGGGCUUCAGCUGGCCAUGGGCAGGAUCCAAGUGGAGCUUCAUCCCUGCAGAGCAAUGCCUGGCUCUCAGCGGAGGCAGUCUGGAGCAGGGCUUCUACCCUUUUCAGCUCAUAGAUUACUUUGGAAUCUGAUGAACACUGGGAGCCUUCUCCUUAGAAGAACAUACAUAUGCACGAGAAUGAGACAAUUACAUAACAUUCCUUGGGUUUCACAGAUGCUGAAGCCAAUGACUUGCUUGAAGCCUGGAAGAGGGUGUUGACCUGGAGAAUCCUAAAGGCCAAAAUUUAGAGAAAAUGGUGCCAGUAAAUGAAUUCACAAGGAGAAAUGCUUCCUUGCCAACUCACUUCUCCAGAUUAUUGAGUGCAUCUAUCUGUUUGCUUUUGGCUUCACGCAAUUGGCCCUCUUCAGUUCCGUACUCUUUCCUAAAUACCUUGCAAGUUUUCCUCUUCUCUCAUGCCAUUUAUAAUAUGCUGACGCCUGAUUAGAGGAAGGAAGGACUCAGCUGCACUUGCACUGGGGGAAGGGCCACUUACAGGAAGCCUACCUGGGGCUGAGCUGGGUCUCACUGCCUCCUAGACCUAAGGGCCCCAGCUUUUCCCUCAUCUCUUGUUGCAGCCACCACUUGUUCUAGAUCUGCAUCCAUAUCUGUAAAAUGGGGGUGAUAAUACCUUCCCAUAAAGUCACUGUGAGGAUUAAAUGUCCGGCACAAUAUUUGAUGCAUAGUGGUGCUGAAUAAUAUUUAUUGUCAUUACUAUCAUUAUUAUUGGCUGCUACCUUCAUUUUGAAAUUCUAUCCAUGAGCUACAUUAAUUAACCUGCAUUCAGUGUCAGGAUGUAUUUCUUAAUUUAGAUUUUUAAAUUUUUAGAGCAUGUGGCUAACCAUGAAUGUUGCAUUUUCUCAGUACCUAUUUAUUCAUAUGAAACUAUAGGUCUGGGCUCAGAGUUCAUCAAUAUUUAUAGAGAAGGCUCUACCUGUUGAGCACUGUGCUAGGCAUCCCCAGAGAUGCUGGCCUACUUCAUGCCUUAGGCAGCCCCACACGUGAGCAUUACUAACCCAUUGCUGCUAUGAGAGCAUUCAGAAAGAAAGCAGUUUAAGUUGCUUGACUAAACUGGUAGAGUUGAAAUUAAACUCUGUCUCUUCAUGUUACUGGACUGCUUGGAUAUCUACUUUCAGAAAGACUACAGCUUGAUAUAAACAUUGUAGUUUUGCUCAUGGAAAACUUACAGUAAAUCUGGGCUGUUUCAACACAACUGUCAAACUGUUCACCUACAGCUGUAUUUUCUCUUGCAAUGGGUGAAUAAGGUACAAUGAUGGUUGUACAGACCAUUACUAUUAUUACCUGUUAAUUUACAUUUAAACAGAUUUAUAAUUUCUGGCCCUGAUUUCCAGUCCAGUAUACAGCAAAAAUCCAUAUUUUAAACUAAAAAUAAUGUGCUUUUCAUAAAAUCAUAAAGAAACCCACCUGGCUAUUGUCUGGGGACUUGCGAGAAGGAUCCUUUGUAGUUUUCUUCCAUGUCUUCUAAGGAAUAGUUUGGAACACAUAGUAAAUAGUCAAUUAAUACCAAAGGGCAUUUGCAAAACUAUCAACUCCCAGUUUAUAUAAAGGACCAGCCACCAGAAUUAUACAUGAAUUAAAAAGUUAGCACACCAUAGUCAGAGAAGGACAACUUGGGAAUAGUUGUGUAACAGCCGUGAGGGUAAGCGAAGGGUCUGUCUACCUGUGCCUUCCCAGAAUACUGCCUCUCUUCUGGUCUGCUUUGGGAACAGUCAACAGGAAAGAAAAAGUAGACAGAUAGAGUCAGUGCGCUGAAUAAAAGAAGAUUCUAGAUCACUACAAGAGGCUUGUCAUUUGAGGCAAAGUGUCUGAGAGAGGAAGGUUUUUAUGGCCUCAAUGGGGAGACUGGUCACUGAUAAAGCGUUCUGGAUCUUUUGUGGGCCGGAAGAUAAGUUGAGUUUUGGUUAAUGUUUAAUGAUGCAGAACAAAAGUCAUAAAUAGUCCAUGAGAAAUAAGAGCACAAAUGAUUGGGAUUGGACAGUUUGCUUAUUCAGCUGCAAAAUGUGCUGUGUUCUAUUCUUGUCAUCCCCCCAUGGUAUAACAAAAUGCAGUGUGACAAGGAAUAUAAAUGUCCCCUAAUGCAUGGGCAGCUUUUUCUGUUCUAAGAGAGUCAGCAUGAGUCACUCAGCAGGUGAAAAAUGUUUAAUUUAGAGAAAAUAGGAUAAAUAGCAAUAGCUUCC